rnacentral:rRNA from 1 species
AUUGAACGCUGGCGGCAUGCCUAACACAUGCAAGUCGAGCGGAUGAAGGGAGCUUGCUCCUGGAUUCAGCGGCGGACGGGGGAGUAAUGCCUAGGAAUCUGCCUGGUAGUGGGGGAUAACGUCCGGAAACGGGCGCUAAUACCACAUACGUCCUGAUGGAGAAAGUGGGUGAUCUUCGGACCUCACGCUAUCAGAUGAGCAUAGGUCGGAUUAGCUAGUUGGUGGGGUAAAGGCCUACCAAGGCGACGAUCCGUAACUGGUCUGAGAGGAUGAUCAGUCACACUGGAACUGAGACACGGUCCAGACUCCUACGGGAGGCAGCAGUGGGGAAUAUUGGACAAUGGGCGAAAGCCUGAUACAGCCAUGCCGCGUGUGUGAAGAAGGUCUUCGGAUUGUAAAGCACUUUAAGUUGGGAGGAAGGGCAGUAAGUUAAUACCUUGCUGUUUUGACGUUACCAACAGAAUAAGCACCGGCUAACUUCGUG